rnacentral:rRNA from 1 species
AUUAGAUAAAAAACCAAUGCCCUUCGGGGCUCCUUGGUGAUUCAUAAUAACUUAUCGAAUCGCAUGGCCUUGCGCUGGCGAUGGUUCAUUCAAAUUUCUGCCCUAUCAACUUUCGAUGGUAGGAUAGUGGCCUACCAUGGUGGCAACGGGUAACGGGGAAUUAGGGUUCGAUUCCGGAGAGGGAGCCUGAGAAACGGCUACCACAUCUAAGGAAGGCAGCAGGCGCGCAAAUUACCCAAUCCCGAUACGGGGAGGUAGUGACAAUAAAUACUGAUACAGGGCUCUUUCGGGUCUUGUAAUUGGAAUGAGUACAAUUUAAACACCUCAACGAGGAGCAAUUGGAGGGCAAGUCUGGUGCCAGCAGCCGCGGUAAUUCCAGCCCCAAUAGCGUAUAUUAAAGUUGUUGCAGUUAAAAAGCUCGUAGUUGAACCUUGGGUCUGGCUGGCCGGUCCGCCUCACCGCGUGCACUGGUCCGGCUGGAUCUUUCCUUCUGGGGAGCCCCAUGGGCCUUUAUUGG